AUUGAACGCUGGCGGCAGGCCUAACACAUGCAAGUCGAGCGGAGCGACGGACGGGUGAGUAAUGCCUAGGAAUCUGCCUUGUAGUGGGGGCUAACGUCCGGAAACGGGCCCUAAUACCACAUACGUUAUGAUGAGCCUAGGUCGUAUUAGCUAGUUGGAUGGGUAAAGGCCUACCAAGGCGACGAUCCGUAACUGGUAGGAGAGGAUGAUCAGUCACACUGGAACUGAGACACGGUCCAGACUCCUACGGGAGGCAGCAGUGGGGAAUAUUGGACAAUGGGCGAAAGCCUGAUCCAGCCAUGCCGCGUGUGUGAAGAAGGUCUUCGGAUUGUAAAGCUCUUUAAGUUGGGAGGCGUUACCAACAGAAUAAGCACCGGCUAACUUCGUGCCAGCAGCCGCGGUAAUAC
rnacentral:rRNA from 1 species